rnacentral:ncRNA from 1 species
UGCCGUUGGUGAAGCAUGCGCGGCGGACGAGCCGCGUGGGCCGCCUUGAUGUAUAAUUCCCACCGAGCGGCGAGUAGAAUCCUUUGCAGACGACUUAAGUACGCGACUGGGUAUUCUAAGUGGCAGAGUGGCCUUGCUGCCACGAUCCACUGAGAUUCAGCCCUGCGUCGCUCCGAUUCGU